GACGUAGGGCGCGAGCGUUGUCCGGAUUUAUUGGGCGUAAAGAGCUCGUAGGCGGCUUGUCGCGUCGUCUGUGAAAAUCCCCGCGGCUCAACCGCGGGUCUGCAGUCGAUACGGGCAGGCUAGAGUUCGGUAGGGGAGACUGGAAUUCCUGGUGUAGCGGUGAAAUGCGUAGAUAUCUGGAGGAAUACCGGUGGCGAAGGCGGCAUCCUGGACCGGCAUUGACGCUGAGGAGCGAAAGCCAGGGGAGCAAACGGG
rnacentral:rRNA from 1 species